rnacentral:rRNA from 1 species
GGGGGAAACCUUGAUGAAGCGACGCCGCGUGAACGAUGAAGCCCUUCGGGGUGUAAAGUUCUUUCGACAGGAACGAUACUGCCGGUACCUGGAGAAGAAGCUGCGGCUAACUACGUGCCAGCAGCCGCGGUAAUACGUAGGCCGCGAGCGUUGUUCGGAGUUACUGGGCGAAAAGAGUGUGUAGGCGGCGAGCCAAGUUUUGUGUGAAAUCUCCCGGCUUAACCGGGAGGGUGCGCCGAAAACUGGUUGGCUGGAGUAUGGGAGAGGAAAGCGGAAUUCCUGGUGUAGCGGUGAAAUGCGUAGAUAUCAGGAGGAACACCUGCGGUGUAGACAGCUUUCUGGACCAAAACUGACGCUGAGGCACGAAAGCGUGGGUAGCAAACA